rnacentral:lncRNA from 1 species
UGACGCUAAUUGGGAUUUGGUUGACUGAAGUUUGUUUGGAGAUUUGGACGCAUAAUUGCAGAGAUCGUGUUGGUGGGGUUUUUCGAAAAGCGCCAUUCGAAGGUGCGUGUAUGUAGCUUUUGUUGUUUUUAGUUGCUUUCCCUAUGGUCCCCCCAUAAUUUUUGCUUUGUUGUGGGUAUGGUUUGUUUAUUUAUCGUCCCAAAUUAACUGUGUUUUUCAUUCUUUUGUGGUGUCCCAGUGUUGUUGUGGUCCCCCAUUAAUUGUGGCUUUCCUUUGUUUAUGUUGUCUUUAUGGUCCCAAUCGGAAGUUAUUUUACUUGUUUAUGGUUUGUUAUUGGUGUGUUUACGUUGUCUUUAUGGUCCCC